rnacentral:rRNA from 1 species
AUUGAACGCUGGCGGCAUGCCUUACACAUGCAAGUCGAACGGCAGCACGGGUGCUUGCACCUGUUGGCGAGUGGCGAACGGGUGAGUAAGACAUCUGAACAGGUCCUGUAGUGGGGGAUAGCCCGGCGAAAGCCGGAUUAAUACCGCAUACGAUCUACGGAUGAAAGCGGGGGACCUUCGGGCCUCGCGCUAUAGGGUUGGCCGAUGGCGGAUUAGCUAGUUGGUGGGGUAAAGGCCUACCAAGGCGACGAUCAGUAGCUGGUCUGAGAGGACGACCAGCCACACUGGGACUGAGACACGGCCCAGACUCCUACGGGAGGCAGCAGUGGGGAAUUUUGGACAAUGGGCGAAAGCCUGAUCCAGCAAUGCCGCGUGUGUGAAGAAGGCCUUCGGGUUGUAAAGCACUUUUGUCCGGAAAGAAAUCCUUGGCUCUAAUACAGUCGGGGGAUGACGGUACCGGAAGAAUAAGCACCGGCUAACUACGUG